rnacentral:rRNA from 1 species
UACAGAGGGUGCGAGCGUUGUCCGGAAUCACUGGGCGUAAAGGGCGCGUAGGUGGCGUGGUAAGUCAGAUGUGAAAUCCCGGGGCUCAACCCCGGAACUGCAUCCGAUACUGCCAUGCUAGAGGAUUGGAGAGGUAGCUGGAAUUCUUGGUGUAGCAGUGAAAUGCGUAGAGAUCAAGAGGAACACUCGUGGCGAAAGCGAGCUACUGGACAAUUCCUGACGCUGAGGCUCGAAGGCUAGGGUAGCGAAAGGG